UACGUAGGGUGCGAGCGUUGUCCGGAAUUAUUGGGCGUAAAGGGCUCGUAGGCGGUUUGUCGCGUCGGGAGUGAAAACCAGGUGCUUAACACCUGGCUUGCUUUCGAUACGGGCAGACUAGAGGUAUGCAGGGGAGAACGGAAUUCCUGGUGUAGCGGUGAAAUGCGCAGAUAUCAGGAGGAACACCGGUGGCGAAAGCGGUUCUCUGGGCAUGACCUGACGCUGAGGAGCGAAAGUGUGGGGAGCGAACAGG
rnacentral:rRNA from 1 species